rnacentral:rRNA from 1 species
GGACUACUGGGGUAUCUAAUCCUGUUUGCUCCCCACGCUUUCGCGUCUCAGCGUCAGUCACCGUCCAGAGGGCCGCCUUCGCCACCGGUGUUCCUCCUGAUAUCUACGCAUUUCACCGCUACACCAGGAAUUCCACCCUCCUCUCCGGGACUCGAGUCCGCCAGUAUCCAAUGCACUUCCGGGGGUGAGCCCCGGGCUUUCACAUCAGACUUAACAGACCGCCUACACGCCCUUUACGCCCAGUGAUUCCGAACAACGCUCGCACCCUCCGUAUUACCGCGGCUGCUGGCAC